rnacentral:rRNA from 1 species
GACGAACGCUGGCGGCGUGCUUAACACAUGCAAGUCGAACGGAAAGGCCUGCUUUCCCUUGUGGAUUGCGGGUACUCGAGUGGCGAACGGGUGAGUAACACGUGAGUGAUCUGCCCCCAACUUGGGUAUAAGCCUGGGAAACUGGGUCUAAUUCCCGAUAGGACUGCAGGGUGGUGCCUGUGGUGGAAAACGAUUUUCUAGUGGUUGGGGAUGAGCUCGCGGCCUAUCAGCUUGUUGGUGGGGUAAUGGCCUACCAAGGCGGCGACGGGUAGCCGGCCUGGGGGGGUGGACGGCCACAUUGGGACUGAGAUACGGCCCAGGCUCCUACGGGAGGCAGCAGUGGGGAAGAGUGGACAAUGGGCGGAAGCCUGAUGCAGCGACGCCGCGUGGGGGAUGACGGCCUUCGGGUUGUAAACUCCUUUCGACCGCGAGGAAGCCACCUGGUUGGAAGGGUGGUGACGGUAGUGGUAGAAGAAGCACCGGCUAACUACGUG